GAUGAAGAACGUAGCGAAAUGCGAUACGUAAUGUGAAUUGCAGAAUUCAGUGAAUCAUCGAAUCUUUGAACGCAUAUUGCGCUCUUUGGUAUUCCGAAGAGCAUGCUUGUUUGAGUAUCAGUAAACACCUCAACCUCUUCUUGAUUUUUCAAAAGGAGGGUGGACUUGAGCUAUCCCAACAACCUUUACCGGUCGGCGGGCGGCUUGAAAUGCAGGUGCAGCUGGACUUUUAUCUGAGCUAAAAGCAUAUCUAUUUAGUCCUCGUCAAACAGGAUUAUUACUUUUGCUGCAGCUAACAUAAAGGAUAAUUGUCCUCUUUGCUGACUGAUGCAGGAUUUUACGACACUUUAUGUGUUGGUCAACUCGAUCUCAAAUCAAGUAAGACUACCCGCUGAACUUAAGCAUAUCAAUAAGCGGAGGA
rnacentral:misc_RNA from 1 species